UAACGAAUCUUCCCCAAUGCACGAAAGUGUGAGGGAGCGACGCCGCGUGGAGGACGAAGUCCUUCGGGAUGUAAACUCCUGUCAGGGAUUAGAAAGUUCUGAUCAAUCCCAGAGGAAGUGGCGGCUAACUCUGUGCCAGCAGCCGCGGUAAGACAGAGGCCACAAGCGUUAGGCGGAAUCACUGGGCUUAAAGCGUGUGUAGGCGGAUCGUUAAGUGCCUUGUGAAAUCCCCCGGCUCAACCGGGGAACGGCUGGGCAUACUGGCGAUCUUGAGCUGCCUAGGGGCGACUGGAACAAACGGUGGAGCGGUGAAAUGCGUAGAUAUCGUUUGGAACGCCAAUGGUGAAAACAGGUCGCUGGGGGCAAGCUGACGCUGAGACACGAAAGCCAGGGGAGCAAACGGGAUUAGAUACCCCCGUAGUCC
rnacentral:rRNA from 1 species